rnacentral:rRNA from 1 species
UUGUUCGCAAUGGGCGCAAGCCUGACGACGCAACGCCGCGUGGAGGAUGAAGGUCUUCGGAUUGUAAACUCCUGUUGACCGGGAAGAAUGGCCAUCGACCUAAUACGUUGGUGGUUUGACGGUACCGGUUGAGGAAGCCACGGCUAACUCUGUGCCAGCAGCCGCGGUAAUACAGAGGUGGCAAGCGUUGUUCGGAAUUACUGGGCGUAAAGGGCGCGUAGGCGGCCAUUUAAGUCGGACGUGAAAUCCCCAGGCUCAACCUGGGAACUGCGUCCGAUACUGGGUGGCUCGAGUUCGGGAGAGGGAUGUGGAAUUCCAGGUGUAGCGGUGAAAUGCGUAGAUAUCUGGAGGAACACCGGUGGCGAAGGCGGCAUCCUGGACCGAAACUGACGCUGAGGCGCGAAAGCCAGGGGAGCAAACGGG